UGGGGAAUAUUGGACAAUGGGCGAAAGCCUGAUCCAGCCAUGCCGCGUGAGUGACGAAGGCCUUAGGGUUGUAAAGCUCUUUUGGCGGGGAAGAUAAUGACGGUACCCGCAGAAUAAGCUCCGGCUAACUUCGUGCCAGCAGCCGCGGUAAUACGAAGGGAGCUAGCGUUGUUCGGAAUCACUGGGCGUAAAGCGCACGUAGGCGGAUUGUUUAGUCAGGGGUGAAAUCCCGGGGCUCAACCUCGGAACUGCCUCUGAUACUGCAAAUCUCGAGUCCGAUAGAGGUGAGUGGAAUUCCUAGUGUAGAGGUGAAAUUCGUAGAUAUUAGGAAGAACACCAGUGGCGAAGGCGGCUCACUGGAUCGGUACUGACGCUGAGGUGCGAAAGCGUGGGGAGCAAACAGGAUUAGAUACCCACGUAGUCCCUGAGCGGGCUGGCAAGGCGCAU
rnacentral:rRNA from 1 species